AAGUCUGUUGUCAAAGGUCACAGCUCAACUGUGGAUCGGCAAUGGAAACUGGGUGACUUGAGUGUGGUAGGGGUAGAGGAAUUUCCCGGUGUAGCGGUGAAAUGCGUAGAUAUCGAGAAGAACACCAGUGGCGAAGGCGCUACACUGGGUCACAACUGCCGUUGAGGGACGAAAGCUAGGGGAGCGAAAGGGAUUAGAUACCCCUGUAGUCCUACCUGUAAACGAUGGAUAUUAGGUGUUGGAUGUAUCGACCCGUGCAGUACCGUAGCUAACGCGUUAAGUAUCCCGCCUGGGGAGUACGCACGCAAGUGUGAAACUCAAAGGAAUUGACGGGGGCCCGCACAAGCGGUGGCGGAUGUGGUUUAAUUCGAUGCAACGAGAAGCACCUUCCCACGGCUUCACAUGUCGAGAAUCCUUCAGAGAGGAGGGAGCGCUUUCGGGAUCGCGAACACAGGUGGCGCAUGGCUGUUCUCAGCUCGUGUCGUGAGAUGUUGGGUUAAGUCCCGCAACGAGCGCAACCCACCUUUUUAGUUCCCCGCAUUUAGUUGGGCACUCUAAAGAGACUGCCGGGGACAAACCGGAGGAAGGUGGGGAUGACGUCAAGUCAUCAUGCCCCUUACGUCCUGGGCUACACACGUCCUACAAUGGUACAGACAAAGGGCAGCCAGCGCGCGAGUGCAAGCAAAUCCCAUAAACUGUGUCUCAGUUCAGAUUGCAGUCUGCAACUCGCCUGCAUGAAGUCGGAAUCGCUAGUAAUCGCAGUCAGCA
rnacentral:rRNA from 1 species